GAUCUCUGCCUACCUGAGGCCUUCCAAAGAUGUGCUGGAAAUGGAGAACAAAGCGUGGCCACGGAUCUGCAAAUGCCAAACUCUCUCGCCACCCAAAGGCAUCUUCUCAUCUGGAUCCUGAGUGUUGUCUUGGCUGGGAGCACAUGGGAACCAAGCAGCCUGGGAAAGGUCCUUUGGCACAGUGUGAAGGGCCCUGCUCCAAAGCCUGCAUGAAAGAUGGGAAUUCUCCCAUUGAUUUUUGCUUUGGCUCCAGAACAGACAGCUUGAGAGCAACACAGAUGUGUGAUUUUUAUCCCUUCAAGCCCUGACCUU